UACGUAGGUCCCGAGCGUUAUCCGGAUUUACUGGGUGUAAAGGGAGCGUAGACGGCAGUGCAAGUCUGGAGUGAAAGGCGGGGGCUCAACCCCCGGACUGCUCUGGAAACUGUACGGCUGGAGUGCAGGAGAGGUAAGUGGAAUUCCUAGUGUAGCGGUGAAAUGCGUAGAUAUUAGGAGGAACACCAGUGGCGAAGGCGGCUUACUGGACUGUAACUGACGUUGAGGCUCGAAAGCGUGGGGAGCAAACAGG
rnacentral:rRNA from 1 species